rnacentral:rRNA from 1 species
UACAGAGGGUGCGAGCGUUAAUCGGAAUUACUGGGCGUAAAGCGCGCGUAGGCGGCUUUGCAAGUCGAGUGUGAAAUCCCCAGGCUUAACCUGGGAACUGCAUUCGAGACUGCAUAGCUAGAGUAUGGGAGAGGGAAGUGGAAUUUCAGGUGUAGCGGUGAAAUGCGUAGAUAUCUGAAGGAACAUCAGUGGCGAAAGCGACUUCCUGGACCAAUACUGACGCUCAUGUGCGAAAGCGUGGGGGAGCAAACAGG